UAGGGAAUAUUGGUUAAUGGGCGAAAGCCUGAACCAGCAACGCCGCGUGCACGAUGACGGCCUUCGGGUUGUAAAGUGCUUUUUGGAGGGAAGAGGAAGGACGGUACCUCCAGAAUAAGUCUCGGCUAACUACGUGCCAGCAGCCGCGGUAACACGUAGGAGACAAGCGUUAUUCGGAUUUACUGGGCGUAAAGCGCGUGCAGGCGGUCUGACAAGUUGGAUGUGAAAGCUCCUGGCUUAACUGGGAGAGGUCGUUCAAAACUAUCAGACUAGAGAGUGGUAGAGGAAGGCGGAAUUCCGGGUGUAGUGGUGAAAUGCGUAGAUAUCCGGAGGAACACCAGUGGCGAAAGCGGCCUUCUGGACCAAUUCUGACGCUCAGACGCGAAAGCUAGGGUAGCGAACGGG
rnacentral:rRNA from 3 species